CUACGGGGGGCUGCAGUGGGGAAUAUUGCACAAUGGGCGCAAGCCUGAUGCAGCCAUGCCGCGUGUAUGAAGAAGGCCUUCGGGUUGUAAAGUACUUUCAGCGGGGAGGAAGGGAGUAAAGUUAAUACCUUUGCUCAUUGACGUUACCCGCAGAAGAAGCACCGGCUAACUCCGUGCCAGCAGCCGCGGUAAUACGGAGGGUGCAAGCGUUAAUCGGAAUUACUGGGCGUAAAGCGCACGCAGGCGGUUUGUUAAGUCAGAUGUGAAAUCCCCGGGCUCAACCGGGGAACUGCAUCUGAGGCUGGCAAGCGAGAGUCUCGUAGAGGGGGGUAGAAUUCCAGGUGUGGCGGUGAAAUGCGUAGAGAUCUGGAGGAAUACCGGUGGCGAAGGCGGCCCCCUGGACGAAGACUGACGCUCAGGUGCGAAAGCGUGGGGAGCAAACAGGAUUAGAUACCCCAGUAGUC
rnacentral:rRNA from 1 species